UACGUAGGGUGCGAGCGUUAAUCGGAAUUACUGGGCGUAAAGCGUGCGCAGGCGGUUCGUUAAGUCAGCUGUGAAAGCCCCGGGCUCAACCUGGGAACGGCGGUUGAAACUGGCGAACUAGAAUCUGGCAGAGGGGGGGUGGAAUUCCACGUGUAGCAGUGAAAUGCGUAGAGAUGUGGAGGAACACCGAUGGCGAAGGCAGCCCCCUGGGCUGAGAUUGACGCUCAGGCACGAAAGCGUGGGGAGCAAACAGG
rnacentral:rRNA from 1 species